UCUUCGCUAGUAUAUCGGUGAGUACACGCGCCUGUCAUUGUUUAACCUGUGACCGCGCGAAAGCUGGGUUCGACUCCCAGGCGAAGAG